rnacentral:rRNA from 1 species
UAGGGAAUCUUCGGCAAUGGACGAAAGUCUGACCGAGCAACGCCGCGUGAGUGAAGAAGGUUUUCGGAUCGUAAAACUCUGUUGUUUGAGAAGAACAAUGACGUUAGUAACUGAACGUCCCCUGACGGUAUCUAACCAGAAAGCCACGGCUAACUACGUGCCAGCAGCCGCGGUAAUACGUAGGUGGCAAGCGUUGUCCGGAUUUAUUGGGCGUAAAGCGAGCGCAGGCGGUUUCUUAAGUCUGAUGUGAAAGCCCCCGGCUCAACCGGGGAGGGUCAUUGGAAACUGGGAGACUUGAGAGCAGAAGAGGAGGGUGGAAUUCCAUGUGAAGGGGUAAAAUGAGUAGAUAUAUGGAGGAACACCAGUGGCGAAGGCGGCUCUCUGGUCUGUAACUGACGCUGAGGCUCGAAAGCGUGGGGAGCAAACAGG